CUGAUGUGACAGUCACCAUCGUUCCUUUUCCCCAGUAGUCAAAAGCAUUGUCACAAUGACGCACACAGUAGUAAACUCCUGAGUCUUCAGGCUGCAUAUUCUGUCCCUGAAUGGUC